AAUGAACGUUGGCGGCGUGGAUUAGGCAUGCAAGUCGAGCGGGUAUAGCAAUAUAUCAGCGGCGAAAGGGAGAGUAACGCGUAGUUACGUGCCCCGAGGUCCAGAAUAGCUGCGGGAAACUGCAGGUAAUGCUGGAUAAUAUCUCCGGAUCAAAGGUGUGAUUCCGCCUCGGGAGCGGACUGCGUUGUACUAGCUAGUUGGUAGGGUAAUGGCCUACCAAGGCGAUGAUGCAUACCGGGCGUGAGAGCGUGGCCCGGCUCACUGGGACUGAGACACUGCCCAGACACCUACGGGUGGCAG
rnacentral:rRNA from 1 species